AGUAACCUCAGAAAGUCGUUCCUCGCGAACGACAUCGCAACGCCGGCUGUAGCGGCAGCCAUCCGGCCGUUCCCUUUUGCCGUGUGGUAGGUCGUCCCUGCUGAAUCAGCAAUCUCCUCCGAUGCCUGCGUUGUUUAGCGGAGUUUCCGCAUCCAGCAACAGCGGCGGCGACUUUUAUCCAUCCCCAUUUUCCCUUGACCCUGUGUUUGUACGAACAGGUGCAUAUCUUUUCUUUGCCUUACCAUGUCCUCUCUCUAUGAAAUAAAUUUUAGGCAUGCAUAGCACGGUGAUCAAAUUACUGUUUCUAAUAUUUUAUCUAGCAAUUAGACUCUUGGAAUUUUCUAUUAUUUGUUAAAUCAGAUCUGAAUUGCUAGGGAAGAAAGAAAGGUUAUAGUAAUUGAUAAAAGCACAUACGUGAUGCAUACAUAACUGAUAUUGAUUUUUGUCAAAUCAGUUGUGAGUCCUCCAUCAGGUAUCUGUGUGAAUACAUUGUCUUAUGAAUGUAUUUCCACUAUUUUGAAGAUAAAGUACAGUGGCCGUCCACUUACAGUCAGAGAGAGCUUAAAUAUAGUUCAAUCUUCAGAGAAACAUCAUCAAAAAAGUGAAGGGCGCAAGCUCACAAACACUAUAUUUGGGUUUGUUAAAUGUAUGCAUCAAAACAUUGAGUUUGCUAGAAAUUCUAAAAUCAGACUAAAUUAAAUAAUGACUAUAGAGUAUAUACGAAUAUAAUAAGAAACCCAAAAGUAAAUAAAUUUCGUUCUGAUAAAAUAUUUCUGAUAUAACAAUUUGAAACCAAAUAAGGCUGCUAUGUCUGCAUCACAUUAUAUUUAGUCAUAUCAGAAUGCUUGUAACAAUAUCUAUAAUAUAUCCUUGUAAACAAUGUUUUUUGCAACCUUGUCGGAUGGACGCUCUUCAUCUGAUAUGAGUAUCUUCAAUCCAUUUCUGCUGGUCACCCUUGACAUUGCAACAUAGAGUUGUCCAUGUGUGAACACUUGCCUUUCUAAGUAGAGUCCAACUUUUUUGAGAGAUUGCCCCUGGCUUUUGUUUAUAGUCAUAGCAAAGCACACUGAUAUUGGGUAUUGUCUCCUUUUCAGAAUGAAAGGCCAUUUUGAAUCACUUGGUGACAUGAUAAUUCGUGGGAUGUAAACUUUGUCACCAACGUUAGGACAUGUUAUGACCUGGCCUUCAAUGAAACGCUUUCCUAGCUGUGUUAUUGUUAGUCUUGUCCCAUUGCAAAGUCCUGCACUUUGAUUGAUGUUCCUCAUAAGCAUUAUUGGUAACCCUACUUUCAGCCUCAGUUCAUGGUCUGGUAUUCCAGAAAAUGUAAGACUAUUCAAAAACUCAGUUGGGUACAACAUAUCUUCAUCUUCCACCGUAGACAUUGCCUUGCAUGUUGUAUCUGAACUGAAAUAGGUUACCUCUUCUCCAGGAAUUUGACUCAUGAUGUAGGCAUUAAUCUGGUCAACAGUCUCGUUUCUUGGGCACAAGAUCGCUCUUUCCUCUAGGUAUGUUCUAUCAGUGUAUUUUCUGUGUAAGUCGGGGUAGGUGGU
rnacentral:lncRNA from 1 species